rnacentral:rRNA from 1 species
AUUGAACGCUGGCGGCAUGCCUUACACAUGCAAGUCGAACGGCAGCAUGGAGAGCUUGCUCUCUGAUGGCAAGUGGCGAACGGGUGAGUAAUACAUCGGAACGUACCUUAUCGUGGGGGAUAACGCAGCGAAAGCUGUGCUAAUACCGCAUACGCCCUGAGGGGGAAAGCGGGGGAUCGCAAGACCGCCCCCGAUUACAGCGGCCGAUGCCUGAUUAGCUUGGUGGUGGGGUAAAAGGCCACCAAGGCGACGCUCAGUAGCUGGUCUGAGAGGACGAUCAGCCACACUGGGACUGAGACACGGCCCAGACUCCUACGGGAGGCAGCAGUGGGGAAUUUUGGACAAUGGGGGCAACCCUGAUCCAGCAAUGCCGCGUGAGUGAAGAAGGCCUUCGGGUUGUAAAGCUCUUUUGUCAGGGAAGAAACACCGGCUCUAACACAGUCCGGGAAUGACGGUACCUGAAGAAUAAGCACCGGCUAACUACGUGCCAGCAGCCGCAGUAA